rnacentral:rRNA from 1 species
UACGUAGGUGGCAAGCGUUGUCCGGAUUUUACUGGGCGUAAAGAGCGCGCAGGCGGUCGGAUUAGUCGCGUGUGAAAGCCCCCCGGCUCAACUGGGGAGGGUCAUUCGAUACUGAUCGACUCGAAGGCAGGAGAGGGUAGUGGAAUUCCCGGUGUAGUGGUGAAAAUGCGCAGAUAUCGGGGAGGAACACCGGUGGCGAAGGCGGCAUCCUGGACCAACACUGACGCUGAGUGAGCGAAAAGCCAGGGGGAGCAAA